rnacentral:rRNA from 1 species
GUUGUAUGGUUAAGUGACUAAGCGUACACGGUGGCAUGCCUUGGCAGUCAGAGGCGAUGAAGGACGUAGUAACUUGCGAUAAGCGUAGAUGAGGCAGUAACAGCCACUUGAGUCUACGAUUUCCGAAUGGGGAAACCCACUGGCAUAAGCCAGUAUCAUUGAGUGAAUACAUAGCUCAAUGAAGCGAACCGGGAGAACUGAAACAUCUAAGUACCCCGAGGAAAAGAAAUCAACCGAGAUUCCGAAAGUAGCGGCGAGCGAAAUUGGAUUAGCCCUUAAGCUUUAC